rnacentral:rRNA from 1 species
GAAACUUAAAGGAAUUGGCGGGGGAGCACUACAACGGGUGGAGCCUGCGGUUUAAUUGGACUCAACGCCGGAAAACUCACCGGGGGCGACAGCAAUAUGUAGGUCAGGCUAAAGACCUUACCUGAAUCGCUGAGAGGAGGUGCAUGGCCGUCGUCAGUUCGUACUGUGAAGCAUCCUGUUAAGUCAGGCAACGAGCGAGACCCGUGCCCACUGUUGCCAGCAUGUCCUUCGGGAUGAUGGGUACUCUGUGGGGACCGCUGGUGCUAAACCAGAGGAAGGUGCGGGCUACGGUAGGUCAGUAUGCCCCGAAUCUCCCGGGCUACACGCGGGCUACAAUGGCUGGGACAAUGGGCUCCUACACCGAAAGGUGAUGGUAAUCUCCCAAACCCAGCCGUAGUUCGAAUCGAGGACUGUAACUCGUCCUCGUGAAGCUGGAAUCCGUAGUAAUCGCGUUUCAACAUAGCGCGGUGAAUACGUCCCUGCUCCUUGCACACACCGCCCGUCAAACCACCCGAGUGAGGUAUGGGUGAGGGCACGGAUUUGUGCCGUGUUCGAACCUAAAUUUCGCAAGGGGGGUUAAGUCGUAACAA